CAGGCCUAACACAUGCAAGUCGAACGAAGCCUUCGGGCUUAGUGGCGGACGGGUUAGUAACGCGUGGGAAUGUACCCUUCACUACGGAAUAGUCCCGGGAAACUGGGUUUAAUACCGUAUACGCCCUUCGGGGGAAAGAAUUUCGGUGAAGGAUCAGCCCGCGUUAGAUUAGGUAGUUGGUGGGGUAAUGGCCUACCAAGCCUACGAUCUAUAGCUGGUUUGAGAGGAUGAUCAGCAACACUGGGACUGAGACACGGCCCAGACUCCUACGGGAGGCAGCAGUGGGGAAUCUUAGACAAUGGGGGAAACCCUGAUCUAGCCAUGCCGCGUGAGUGACGAAGGUCUUAGGAUCGUAAAGCUCUUUCAACUGUGAAGAUAAUGACGGUAGCAGUAGAAGAAACCCCGGCUAACUCCGUGCCAGCAGCCGCGGUAAUACGGAGGGGGUUAGCGUUGUUCGGAAUUACUGGGCGUAAAGCGCACGUAGGCGGAUUGGAAAGUUGGGGGUGAAAUCCCGGGGCUCAACCUCGGAACUGCCUCCAAAACUAUCAGUCUAGAGUUCGAGAGAGGUGAGUGGAAUUCCGAGUGUAGAGGUGAAAUUCGUAGAUAUUCGGAAGAACACCAGUGGCGAAGGCGGCUCACUGGCUCGAUACUGACGCUGAGGUGCGAAAGUGUGGGUAGCAAACAGGAUUAGAUACCCUGGUAGUCCACACCGUAAACGAUGAAUGCCAGUCGUCAGGGGGCUUGCCCCUUGGUGACACACCUAACGGAGUAAGCAUUCCGCCUGGGGAGUCGGCCGCAAGGUUAAAAC
rnacentral:rRNA from 1 species